UGGGAAGCAAGUUGAAUUGACAUGUAUACAGUGCAACCUUUCUAUAUUUGUGUGCGGCUGCCUAUAUUCAGACUCUGAAUUUCAGAGGCAGAAGUAUAGCAUGAUUAAGAUUUGAGAUUAUCAGGAGCUUCCACAGGCUGCUGGCGCAAGGGACGGUGGUCUCGCAGGGCGCGGCAAGGAGCUCAGUUGGUGCCGUUGUCCGCGGCGACUUGCAGCGCGACGAUGUUCUUGAUUUCUGGCCUCUGUAUGCACAGAAGGUGUAUGUGUUUACCAUCUCCGACUGAGGCGACUGAGGAUCUGUACUUCUGAAAAUAUGAAACUCUGAAACCCAUUCUUUCA